CUCCUCUCCCUCGUCGUUUCCUUCUCCCCCUCACGCGUGCCCUAGCAUUUCCUCUCCGAGCCAUCCCCGACGCCAAGCCUGCCCUAACUGCUCCACCAACUGGCGCCGCUUCUCUUCUCCUCUGCGCGCCGACACCGAUCCAGCGCCCCGCCUGUCGAGCCACCUUCCCGAUCCCUUCUUCCCUUUGUGCUGCAACUGACGCCGGUUCACAGCCCAAGCACCGGCGACGCUCGAGCCACUAUCAGUUAAGCCUUCGCCCUCUUCUGAUUUGUUGCGCGCCGACGCCACUGUGUGCCGCUCCCCGACACUGACAUCUUCUCCUCGCCGGCACCCAAACACCGCCGACAUCUGCUAUGGGCCGACGCCGGAGCAGGGGUGUUGCUGUCCUUGUUGUGCCCUAGCGCAGUGGCUGACCCUCCUUUUCUUUGGAUUUUUCUCGACUUGUGCCCUAGCACAGUCGCUGAUUUCAUCUCUCUCCCUCCGGUGGACAGCGAUUGGAAGGAGGGAGGUGUCGGAUACAAUUGGUUGUUGUAUUCCCUGUUCAGAUCUUGGUCAUCUUCUUGCGGCUGAUAGGGUGGAUUUCGAUAGGGAGGUGUUGUUUGGUGGCUUUCUGGGUUUCGGCAGCAACUAUCCCGAUUGAGGUUGUUAUUCUGUGGAGGUGUUUUUGAGUUAUCAGGCAGAGCCUAGGAGGUUUGUGCUUGAUCAGUAACCUUCCGGCUUGAUUCCAAUCUUGAUCCGAUCCAGUGAGGAUCUGUGAAGGUGAUCUUGGUUCCGAUAGCAACACCCGUUUUGAUCCAGCAUCAACAGUAGCUGAGAAUAAGGACUUUGACACGAGACGAGUAUCUCGACUACUGGUUUGGACUUUUCGAUUUGGAGGCGGG